rnacentral:rRNA from 1 species
UACAGAGGUCCCAAGCGUUGUUCGGAUUCACUGGGCGUAAAGGGUGCGUAGGUGGUCGGGUAAGUUUAAGGUGAAAGCUCCGGGCUCAACCCGGAAAUGGCCUUGAAUACUAUCCGGCUCGAGGGUUGGAGGGGGGACUGGAAUUCUCGGUGUAGCAGUGAAAUGCGUAGAUAUUCGGAAGAACACCAGUGGCGAAGGCGACUUACUGGACACAUAUUGACGCUGAGGUGCGAAAGCGUGGGGAGCAAACAGG